CUUGUACUCCCUCCGUCCGAAAAUACUUGUCGUGAAAUGGAUGUAUCUAGAUGUAUUUUAGUUCUAGACACAUCCAUUUUGAUGAUAAGUAAUUCCGGACGGACGGAGUAGUUG
rfam:Triticum aestivum genome assembly, contig: Triticum_aestivum_CS42_TGACv1_scaffold_533680_6DL